rnacentral:lncRNA from 1 species
UUAUGAGGGUGGACAAGCAGGUAAGAAGGCAUCCUUUUAUCAACGAAAAAUAUAACUUCCUAAGCUCACUGACCAUUUAUGCUGUAAAAACCAACAUAUUGCAAUGCUUAACUUCUGUUCAGGUGUCCAAAAUAAAACAGCUUCUCACAGGUAUCUUAACUAUGAGAUGCAAGUCUCACAUAAUUACGAAUUGUCCUGCCCUGAACCUGAUAGCUAUAUCCACCUCAAAGUUGUACGCCUGAAAAUGAAGGGGUGACAAAUUAACCAAUCAAGAAAAUGCAGGCACCAUAAAACAAUCUACUUCAUAUAAACGCCGAGAUAUGCUGAAUACAAGAUGCAUUUGGAAUUUCAAUCCUCAAACCAACCAUAGAGAAAGCAAUUUGUCUUCAAUUUAACCCAGAAACAAGAGAAAACAUAAAUUGCGAAAACU